GUACGCUAAAAUUUCUGAAAAAUUAGUUGAGACCCCUUUUCUUACUGUGUCCCGUUCCUUAAUUCGAGCACUGUUUUAACAGCGAAAACACUUCCUCUCAGUAAUGCACCAGGUUGACAUUAUAUUUAAUAAAAUUCGCAUCAUGUUGCAUUCAUUUUCUGCGGAUACUCCAUUAUGGUAUUAUAUCAGUUUUAUUUUUCGUGCGUUUCAAUUCAAAAUUGAAAUAGAUUGUCG